AAAUGAAUUGACGGGGACCCGCACAAGCAGUGGAUUAUGUGGUUUAAUUCGAAGCAACGCGAAGAACCUUACCAGGGCUUGACAUCCUACUAACGAAGCGGAAACGCAUUAGGUGCCCUUCGGGGAAAGUAGAGACAGGUGGUGCAUGGUUGUCGUCAGCUCGUGUCGUGAGAUGUUGGGUUAAGUCCCGCAACGAGCGCAACCCUUAUUGUUAGUUGAUACAUUAAGUUGAUCAUUCUAGCGAGACUGCCGUUGACAAAACGGAGGAAGGUGGGGAUGACGUCAAAUCAUCAUGCCCCUUAUGUUCUGGGCUACACACGUAAUACAAUGGCGAUUAACAGAGGGAAGCAAAGCCGCGAGGUGGAGCAAAACCCUAAAUAUCGUCUCAGUUCAGAUUGCAGGCUGCAACUCGCCUGCAUGAAGGCGGAAUUGCUAGUAAUCGCGGAUCAGCACGCCGCGGUGAAUACGUUCCCGGGUCUUGUACACACCGCCCGU
rnacentral:rRNA from 1 species